rnacentral:rRNA from 1 species
GUAACGGUUUAAUUUUCCGGCCUGGGGAUUACGCACGCAAACUGGGAACUCAAAGGAAAUGACGGGGGGCCCGCACAAGCGGUGGAGUAUGUGGUUUAAUUGGAUGCAACGCGAAGAGCCUUACCAGGGCUUGACAUGUCGCGAACCCCGGGGAACCCUGGGGGUGCCUUAGGGAGCGCGAACACAGGGUGGUGCAUGGCUGUCGUCAGCUCGUGUCGUGAGAUGUUGGGUUAAGUCCCGCAACGAGCGCAGCCCUUGUCUUUAGUUGCCAGCAGUAAGAUGGGAACUCUAGGGAGACCUGCCGGUGACAAUCCGGAGGAAGGUGGGGAUGACGUCAAGUCAGCAUGCCCCUUACGUCCUGGGCUACACACGUACUACAAUGGGAAGGACAGAGAGCAGCAAGUACGCAAGUGCAAGCGAAUCUCGAAAACCUUCCCCCAGUUCGGAUUGCAGGCUGCAACUCGCGUGCAUGAAGGAGGAAUCGCUAGUAAUCGCCGGUCAGCAUACGGCGGUGAAUACGUUCCCGGGCCUUGUACACACCGCCCGUCACACCAUGGAAGUUGGCCAGGCCCGAAGUCAUUACCCUAACCUUACGGAGGAGGGGGAUGCGGAAGGCCGGGCUGAUGAUCUUGGGUGAAGUCGUAACAAGGUACGCCAAUCAGGUAGUGCGGCGCGCUUGCAGGUCGGCCAUAUGGAGAGUCCCAUCGCGUGAUAU